rnacentral:rRNA from 1 species
GACGAACGCUGGCGGCGUGCCUAAUACAUGCAAGUCGAGCGGACUUUCAAGAAGCUUGCUUUUUGAAAGUUAGCGGCGGACGGGUGAGUAACACGUGGGCAACCUGCCUGUAAGACGGGGAUAACUCCGGGAAACCGGGGCUAAUACCGGAUAAUAUCUUUCUUCGCAUGAAGGAAGGUUGAAAGGCGGCGCAAGCUGCCGCUUGCAGAUGGGCCCGCGGCGCAUUAGCUAGUUGGUGAGGUAACGGCUCACCAAGGCGACGAUGCGUAGCCGGCCUGGGAGGGUGAUCGGCCACAAUGGGACUGGGACACGGGCCAGACUCCUACGGGAGGCAGCAGUAGGGAAUCUUCCGCAAUGGACGAAAGUCUGACGGAGCAACGCCGCGUGGGCGAAGAAGGUCUCCGGAUCGUAAAGCUCUGUUGUCAGGGAAGAACAAGUACCGUUCGAAUAGGGCGGUACCUUGACGGUACCUGACCAGAAAGCCACGGCUAACUACGUGCCAGCCGCCGCCGUAA